rnacentral:rRNA from 1 species
CCUACGAGUGGCAGCAGUGAGGAAUAUUGGUCAAUGGGCGAGAGCCUGAACCAGCCAAGUCGCGUGAAGGAUGACGGCCCUACGGGUUGUAAACUUCUUUUGUCAGGGAGCAAUUGGGUCCACGCGUGGGCUUAGCGAGAUUACCUGAAGAAAAAGCAUCGGCUAACUCCGUGCCAGCAGCCGCGGUAAUACGGAGGAUGCGGGCGUUAUCCGGAUUUAUUGGGUUUAAGGGGUGCGUAGGCGGAAUAUCAAGUCAGCGGUAAAAAUUCGGGGCUCAACCCCGUCGUGCCGUUGAAACUGGUGGUCUUGAGUGGGCGAGAAGUAUGCGGAAUGCGUGGUGUAGCGGUGAAAUGCAUAGAUAUCACGCAGAACUCCGAUUGCGAAGGCAGCAUACCGGCGCCCAACUGACGCUGAAGCACGAAAGCGUGGGUAUCGAACAGGAUUAGAUACCCGAGUAGUC